rnacentral:rRNA from 1 species
AGAAUCAACGCUGGCGGCGUGCCUAACACAUGCAAGUCGCACGAGAAAGGGGAGCAAUCCCUGAGUACAGUGGCGCACGGGUGAGUAACACGUGAAUCAUCUACCUCCGAGUGGGGAAUAACUGAGAGAAAUCUUAGCUAAUACCGCAUAAUACCCACGGGUCAAAGCAGCAAUGCGCUUGGAGAGGAGUUCGCGGCAGAUUAGUUAGUUGGCGGGGUAAUGGCCCACCAAGACGAUGAUCUGUAUCCGGCCUGAGAGGGCGCACGGACACACUGGAACUGAAACACGGUCCAGACUCCUACGGGAGGCAGCAGUGGGGAAUUUUGCGCAAUGGGGGAAACCCUGACGCAGCAACGCCGCGUGGAGGAUGAAGCCCCUUGGGGUGUAAACUCCUUUCGAUCGGGAAGAUAAUGACGGUACCGAUAUAAGAAGCCCCGGCUAACUUCGUGCCAGCAGCCGC